rnacentral:rRNA from 1 species
GACGAACGCUGGCGGCGGGCUUAACACAUGCAAGUCGAACGGAAAGGCCCUGCUUGCGUGGGGUGCUCGAGUGGCGAACGGGUGAGUAACACGUGAGUAACCUGCCCUGGACUUUGGGAUAACUUCAGGAAACUGGGGCUAAUACCGGAUAGGAGCUCCUGCUGCAGGGUGGGGGUUGGAAAGUUUCGGCGGUUGGGGAUGGACUCGCGGCUUAUCAGCUUGUUGGUGGGGUAGUGGCUUACCAAGGCUUUGAAGGGUAGCCGGCCUGAGAGGGUGACCGGCCACAUUGGGACUGAGAUACGGCCCAGACUGCUACGGGAGGCAGCAGUGGGGAAUAUUGUACAAUGAGCGGACGCCUGAUGAAGCAACGCCGCGUGCGGGAUGCCGGCCUUCGGGUUGUAAACCGCUUUAGCUUGUGACGAAGCGUGAGUGACGGUAAUGGGUAAAGAAGCACCGGCUAACUACGUG